GGGGAAUUUUCCGCAAUGGGCGAAAGCCUGACGGAGCAAUACCGCGUGAGGGAGGAAGGCUCUUGGGUUGUAAACCUCUUUUCUCAGGGAAUAAGAACUGAAGGUACCUGAGGAAUCAGCAUCGGCUAACUCCGUGCCAGCAGCCGCGGUAAUACGGAGGAUGCAAGCGUUAUCCGGAAUGAUUGGGCGUAAAGCGUCCGCAGGUGGUUUAUCAAGUCUGCUGUCAAAGAGUUUGGCUCAACCAAAUAAAGGCAGUGGAAACUGACAGACUGGAGUGCGGUAAGGGCAGAGGGAAUUCCUGGCGUAGCGGUGAAAUGCGUAGAGAUCAGGAAGAACACCGGUGGCGAAAGCGCUCUGCUGGGCCGUAACUGACACUGAGGGACGAAAGCUAGGGGAGCGAAUGGGAUUAGAUACCCCAGUAGUC
rnacentral:rRNA from 1 species